CGGGGUGCAGCAGGCGCGAAAACUUUACAAUGCCGGCAACGGCGAUAAGGGAACCUCGAGUGCCAGGUUACAAAUCUGGCUGUCGUGAUGCUUAAAAAGCAUUGCAUAGCAAGGGCCGGGCAAGACCGGUGCCAGCCGCCGCGGUAACACCGGCGGCUCGAGUGGUAACCGUUAUUAUUGGGUCUAAAGGGUCUGUAGCCGGCCGGGUAAGUCUCUUGGGAAAUCUGGCAGCUUAACUGUCAGGCUUUCAGGAGAUACUGCCUGGCUCGAGGCCGGGAGAGGUGAGAGGUACUUCAGGGGUAGGGGUGAAAUCUUGUAAUCCUUGAAGGACCACCAGUGGCGAAGGCGUCUCACCAGAACGGACCUGACGGCAAGGGACGAAAGCUAGGGGCACGAACCGGAUUAGAUACCCGGGUAGUCCUAGCCGUAAACGAUACUCGCUAGGUGUCGGCCACGGUGCGACCGUGGUCGGUGCCGUAGGGAAGCCGUGAAGCGAGCCACCUGGGAAGUACGGCCGCAAGGCUGAAACUUAAAGGAAUUGGCGGGGGAGCACAAGGGCGAAUCG
rnacentral:rRNA from 1 species